GAUGAACGCUGGCGGCGUGCCUAAUACAUGCAAGUCGAGCGAACAGACGAGGAGCUUGCUCCUCUGACGUUAGCGGCGGACGGGUGAGUAACACGUGGAUAACCUACCUAUAAGACUGGGAUAACUUCGGGAAACCGGAGCUAAUACCGGAUAAUAUAUUGAACCGCAUGGUUCAAUAGUGAAUGACGGUUUUGCUGUCACUUAUAGAUGGAUCCGCGCCGCAUUAGCUAGUUGGUAAGGUAACGGCUUACCAAGGCAACGAUGCGUAGCCGACCUGAGAGAGUGAUCGGCCACACGGGAACUGAGACACGGUCCAGACGCCUACGGGAGGCAGCAGUAGGGAAUCUUCCGCAGUGGGCGAAAGCCUGACGGAGCAACGCCGCGUGAGUGAUAAAGGUCUUCGGAUCGUAAAACUCUGUUAUGAGGGAAGAACAAAUGUGUAAGUAACUAUGCACGUCUUGACGGUACCUAAUCAGAAAGCCACGGCUAACUACGUG
rnacentral:rRNA from 1 species